CAGCAGCCGCGGGAAUACGGAGGAUCCAAGCGUUAUCCGGAAUCAUUGGGUUUAAAGGGUCCGUAGGCGGUCUUGUAAGUCAGUGGUGAAAGCCCAUUGCUCAACGGUGGAACGGCCAUUGAUACUGCAGGACUUGAAUUAUUGGGAAGUAACUAGAAUAUGUAGUGUAGCGGUGAAAUGCUUAGAGAUUACAUGGAAUACCAAUUGCGAAGGCAGGUUACUACCAAUUGAUUGACGCUGAUGGACGAAAGCGUGGGUAGCGAACAGGAUUAGAUACCCGUGUAGUCCCUGUCUCUUAUAC
rnacentral:rRNA from 1 species